ensembl:lncRNA
CUGCAUUACUGGAUCCUAGUUUUAAAAAGCUUGUAUUCAGUGACAACAGAGCUGUUGAUGGGGCACUUCAGAGAAUAACUGCCACAGCAGCAAAAUGCACCACCCAGCUCCAGCAUUAGAGGGCCAAGUGGGGGAGGAGCCACAAAUUCCUGCUGUGUGGAGGCUCUUUGAUGAAAGAGCUACAGGAGAUGCUACAAAGAGAAAUACUACAGCUGAUGUUAUAAUGGAGAUGCGAUCUUGAGUACUCCUUCAUCCAACGUGGAGAAGACCUGCUGAGCUGGUGGCAGGCCAAGGCCACAGUCUUUCCACACCUGGUGAAGGUGAUAGAGGGAUGACUGUGAAUAGUGGCAACAUCUGUUCCUCCGGAGAGAGUCUUCUCAAAAAAAGGGCAGAUACUAACUGUCAUGGUCUGGUAAUUCUCCGGACACCAUUCUCCAUCCUGCCAUAACUAACCUCUGUUCAGUUGCUGGUCUGUUCAGCAGCUUCACCGCUUUACUCACUUGCCUUCCUCCCUGCCCUGCUUCCUGGAAACACUUGAAUCUCUGCUCUGGACAAAUAUCACUCACGGCUCACCCAGACCACUUACCCUUCCACGCUUUGCCUCUGCCUGCGAAAAUGACUCCGAGAAUCCUGGCACCAUUCCCCUGUCUAGCCUCCCCCUUUAGUCCCACACCACAGGGUUCCUGUACUGGCUGUUACCCAGUAUUGGGUUCUCUAGCUCCUGCUCACGCCAGCCUAAGGGCUUGUUCUCUGGACUCUCUCAUAGCAUGCCGUGUGUUCACAGCUCAUAGUUCAUAGUUGUUUGUUUUUAUGAUAACAUUCAUGAUACUGUUCUAGUUAAUUGUACAUCAUAGUAUUGUUCUAGUUGGCUUUAUUGACUUUUAUUCAUAGUUCAUAUAACUCGCCAAGCUCCUGAGUGCAUAGUGUUGGGAAACAUUCUGUUGCACAUUUUCACUCCUUGUAAAUAAAGUCUUGCUC